CAGUCGGUCACAGGUUAGGGUUGAAGGGCUCACAUCUCGGGGGAAUCUGGUGCGAUUCCAGAACUGACCCGCAACCGUGAGACGACCCUGGUCGUCGAGUCGGAGAACCCGUCAUGUCACGCACAACCCG
rnacentral:ncRNA from 2 species